AUUGAACGCUGGCGGCAGGCUUAACACAUGCAAGUCGAACGAGUGGCGGACGGGUGAGUAAUGCUUGGGAAUCUGGCCUAUGGAGGGGGCUAACGACGGGAAACUGUCGCUAAUACCGCAUACCAUAGGAUGUGCCCAAAUGGGAUUAGGUAGUUGGUGGGGUAAUGGCCUACCAAGGCGACGAUCGCUAGCUGGUCUGAGAGGAUGACCAGCCACACUGGAACUGAGACACGGCCCUGACUCCUACGGGAGUCAGCAGUGGGGAAUAUUGCGCAAGGGGGGCAACCCUGACGCAGCCAUGCCGCGUGAAUGAAGAAGGCCUUCGGGUUGUAAAGUUCUUUCGGUGAGGAGGCGUUAAUCGCAGAAGAAGCACCGGCUAACUCCGUGCCAGCAGCCGCGGUAAUAC
rnacentral:rRNA from 1 species